rnacentral:rRNA from 1 species
AACGUAGGUUCCGAGCGUUAUCCGGAUUUACUGGGCGUAAAGCGCGUUCAGGCGGUUUGGCAAGUCGGGCAUGAAAUCUCUCGGCUCAACCGGGAGAGGUUGUCCGAUACUGUUAGACUGGAGGGCAGUAGAGGGUGGUGGAAUUCCGGGUGUAGUGGUGAAAUGCGUAGAGAUCCGGAGGAACACCAGUGGCGAAAGCGGCCACCUGGACUGCACCUGACGCUGAGGAGCGAAAGCCAGGGGAGCAAACGGG